rnacentral:rRNA from 1 species
UGCUGUGGCCAAAACCUCCUUCUCAAACCCUGAUCUCUUCAAAUCUCAGAAGUUAAGCUCGGCCUGGCCUGGUUAGUACUUGGAUGGGACACUGCUGUGGGAUUACCAGUUCCCACAGUGG